AGAUAGAUCAUAAAGCGAGAGGACAGUAUAAAUAUAUACAUACAGAUUCAUAGCACACAUAGUCUCAUAAGCUGUAUAGAUAACCAGGUCACUGACUGCUGGCAGCGUAGAUAGUAUAUAUUACAUACGAAACUGCGUUAGGUGCCUACAUAUUUAUUUAGCAACGAGGAGCAUGUCAAAGUUGGAAAGUAUUAACAGCCACAAAAGAUCAUUGCGGGCGUGUUGCAGCCUACCAGUUCCUGCGUAAAGUACAGAGCAUCAGUAUAAACAAUAUCAUAUAACUUUCUUCUUCUUCUGAUAUGAUAAUCAGGGUAAAUUGCACAAGAAAUUCACUGAAUGGACUGGACUGUUGAUCUGACAAAACGAUCACUACUGAUUUGGACGUACAUAUGACCAGGUGGAAAAAAGGAGUAACCUAUGUAACUUGCAUGAAGAUCAGCGCCUUGGUUUCUGAAGCUUAGCUCUGAAAUUAGGAGGCACACAUAUGUUAAUAAUGAGGCAAAACAUUUGAAAUGCAUCUGUUUCGCUGCAUUUUUUGGCCUUUGUUUUUUAUUUUUUUGUUACCUUUUUAUUUGUAGCUGUGGUGGUGAGCCUGGUGAGCUGUUAAUGUUAUCCUGGGUGACCUCUGUCACUGAUGUAUUCUACAUAAAUAAAAGCAGGAUUCUAGUAACUAUGAAGGAGCAGUAUGUAAUGGAGAGUUCCUAAGUUGGCAAGUAUUAAUAAUCAUACAUGUUCGACCACAUUAGUGUCCUCAAACAAGCGUUUACGAGCGCCGGCUGUGUCCACCGGUGAUCUGUAGGAUAGAAUAAAAUGGAGAUAUGUUUAAAACAAUUAGAAAAAGUAAAAUAGUGAAACUGUAUGUAAAGAGAAAACUUAUUUGUGCUGACAUAUCAUACAAGCUGGUAUGUUCCUUUACGGGUGUCUGCUCUGUUUCCGUUGGCGGAGCAGGUGUCUAAAAAAUUAUUUGAAAGCAUUAGUCUUUUCUGUUACAUGAGUCACUAAUAACAUGAUCUGUAACCAGGUAGUAUAGAAUUGGCUUACCGAUUCAUUCGCCUGCGGAAUUUCAAGAACCUGCUGAUUAAACUGAGGAGCACGUGUCAUUUGAAGCUGGUUCUGUGGUUGUGCCGAGCUGGUUGAUGGAAGCUGUAUUGCUUUGUUAACCUUUGUAGAUACAGUAGCGGUGAGUAAGGACCCUGAUCUGUCAAGUCUCUCUAAGACAUGUUUCACCAGAUACUGCCUCCUUGCUUUAGAGGUGAAUGAGUUUUCUGUAAGGUUGAUGGAGAAGAUAAAUUUUUUAGCGAUAACAGCCUGUAGUUGUUGAGGAAGUCCCAUUGCUAGUUUUAAUGGAUUUAAAAUUAGAUCACAGUCUUUCUGAAUAAUUAUUCUGGCAGUUUCAUCAUAGGCAAAGAAGUUUGCUUCUCCUGUUUCGUCUUUUGCACUGAAAUUGAAUAAGUAUCUACACAACGAAAACCCAAAAUCCUGGUAAGUAUAUGGAUGACCUUAAUGUGGUCCAAUUUGACAUGUAUGUGGCUGCAUUGUGUAAAAAAGUUGAUUACCUAGGUAAACUAUUUGUCCCAUGGCAUUUAGGACAUUGAUAGCCACCACCAGGUUGUGGAUCCAUUUUUUUCUUGCAUCCUUUACAGGACAUGUACCACCAACUGUUGUCAUCUGGUAUAUGUGUUACGGUAACCGCGCAUUUAUAACCCUCAUCCUGUUGUGAGGUGAACAAAUGUGUACUUAGUUUUAGAAUAUAAACGAGGACAAAGUUUGUUAAAAUUAGUGAAUGACUGAGCAUACGAAGUUUACCGCAAAAUCAUAUGGAUCAAUACUGUUUAGUUCAGCAAUAGUCUUUUGGUCCAAUGGAGUAUGCUGUGGUUCCACAUCUUUUUCCGCUUCAGGUGCUUCAGGCCGUUCUAUAUAUAUGGGUUCCUCUUUAAACCUGCACAUUGGAUAGAAAUAAACCAACUAUUUGCUUAGUCUGUACUAUCAAAGGAAGAUAGUUUGACCAAAGUUAUAGAAAUGGUAAUGAUACCAUGCACUACGCACCUAUCGUAAAACGGUAAAGCCUCUGUAAUCUGUGGGUUUAGAUAGUGAUAAGAACCGCUGCUGCCACUAAGGUAAGGCCUUUCUUCAUCACUGUGUGAGUGCCAUUUUCUGGGUAUAAAACCAACAAACAGAGCAAUAACAGCUUUCGGGUUUUCUUUGGUGUUAAGGUCGCCCACUGUAAAAUUGACCGCAUGCUCACCCCAAAGGGUUAUCUUAAGUUCAUUGUCACUGAAAAGAAAUAAGAUCUGAUUAUUUGAGUGCCCUUAACCGGUAUCGCUCUAUCACAAUGACAGUGGAAUAUAGCAAUAUACAAUACGUAUCCAAAAAUAGUUAUGAGCUAUGUGCGUACUAACCUUAAGUCUUUUAUGAAGACCUCUCUAAGGAUGCUUCCUCUUUCUUUACCUUUUGGAGUUACACAAACAACACCUGUGUAUUUGGUGAUGUAGCCUAAGACAUCUGCAAAAAAGGACCGGUAAGAUAAUUGGGACGAGACAUUAUGUAAACAGCAGUUAAAAUUGUAAAAAAUAACCUGUCAAUAUAGCAACCGGUCCUUGUGCAGGCAGUAUACUGGUAAAUGAGGUAAGAGCGUAGACAUAUGCGGGGAAUGUAUUGGGUGGAUUCUCAGCUGGUCUUAUCAUUGUGAACUCAGUCAAUUCUAUCAUAAGCUGACAAUCCAGGGGUUUAUAUGUUGGUUUUGCAUUGUUGACUUUAAACUUGCUGAUAACAUAGACAUUGUGGAGUUGUAUAAGAGGAUCCAAAGUCUUUAUGAGUUCUUGAGAAAUCUCGGCAUAUAUAGCGUCUCCCUGAGUAGGAAAAACAAAAUUGUUAUAAAUGGUGCUUUUAGAUUCGAAGAAGAUGUAUAGUCUUGUUUUAGGAGCUAUGUGUUAGUGUAACAAUAUGCAUAUAUAUCUUACCUUUGCAUCUGCCAGAACCAAACCAACAAACAGUGGUAUUCUUUGUCCCAUACUCUCUUUUACAGUCCAUUUUCUCAUGACACGCACACAGACAGAAACUUUGGGUCUUCCUUUUUGAAGCUUGCCUAGAUAAGAAGCCUGCAUCCUAUGGAGUUAUAACAGACGGCCAAAGUUAAUCUCUGACAUACAGUAGCACAAAUGUUUGAGCAUGAAAUUGGUGUGACAUGUAACAACACGGUAGAGAAAAAAGUGUAUAUAUUUAUGCGUUUAUGAAUAAUACAAGACACAUGGGCCUGUGAAAGUAAACAAUAAGAAUCCAGUCCAUAUAGAAUGCUGAAUAAAUAAAAAACAAUGCUAGGUUUUGUGCGUAACUGAACAUGUGAACAAAAUAGCACCAAACAUAGAGGAAAGAAACAUAUAAACGGGAGUAUGUACAACUAUUACAGAAGUUGCUGCAAACAUUUCUGAGGAUUUGAAAAAAGAGGCACGCUGGCCCACAAAAUAGCAGGCAACACUGACUGACAUCAGUAAUCUAUGUAAAUGUUCUAAGUGUUAACGCCUUCAAAAUCCGCAUGACUGUGUCUGCAGCUUGUAGAUGUCAUCAUACUGCAGGAAGAUACGCAAGCACUUCUCUGUAGACAACAUUUCUUGUUUCAUUUGUGCACUGACCAUCGUUAUCCUCUAUUAAAAUUUUGAGCCCGCUUUUUGUUGUAACGCGUGAGAUAGCAACAUACAGCUGGCCAUGAGAGAAGACUGGCUUUUUUAGAUAGACACCAACCGCUGAUAAUGUCUGUUCCUGACUUUUGUUGAUAGUCAUGGCAUAGCACACCUUUAUUGGAUACUGUCGUCUUUCGAGUAUGAAUGGCCACUUAUUGGUUUUCAGUGUAAGGGUAAUUCUUGGGAUAAAAACACUCUGUCCAGAGAAUUUUCCAGUAAUUAUUUUAGCCUCUAUGACCAUAUCUCCUAAAGAAACUAUAACCAAUCUUGUACCAUUGCAAAGGCCAUCUGAUUGGUUAAGAUUGCGGAGAAGCAUCACAGGAACACCCUCUUUUAGCACCAACCGAUGGUGGGGAAAGUUAUUUCCAUUGAGUGAGUUCAAAAACUCAACUGGAUACAAUAGGUCGUAUGUCUCAUGUGGACUUGCAGAUUUUGCAAUGCUAUCAGAGCUAAGGUAUUCUUUUUCUGUUCCUGGGAGCAGGGAAACAAUAUAGUCAUUGACUGAAUCAGUUUGCUCAUUUGUUGGCGUUAGUAUGGCUCUUUCACUAAUAUAUGUUGAAUUACUAUAGUGCAAUACAAGAUCUGGAUAAAUAGCGCUAACAAUACAAGCCAGCUUAUCACCACUUGUUUGUAACAGCAAAUCCUCAGGUAUGUUAAUCCAUGAAGGUUCAGAUUCACCCUCCCUUGCACUACAGUGUAUUUUGCCUUCACCAAUGUCCAGGACCCAUUUACUAAAUUCUGUGAUUUGUUUCUGGUAAUUUGCAUCUGUUGAAGAAGAAGAAAGCCGCAUGUUUUGAGAUAAACUAAGUAUUUCCACCUGUGACCACAAACGUGAUCUAAUUAUUGCUGAGUUUACAAUCUCAGAUCUACUUCCUCCUUCAACAACAGGGAGUAUUUGUCUAAGAUCACCACCAAGCACCACUACUUUGCCACCGAAAGGAAUUUCAGAGGCUUCUACACAUUGUGUGGACUGUAUGUCACGGAAGGUUCUAUCAACAGCCUCAAACGCUCUUUUGUCAGUCAUGAGAGCCUCGUCCCAAAUGACAAGACAUGCUUCUUCGAUAAGUUCUGAAAGCAUGGUUCCUCUUCUUAUGUCACAGACGGAUGCAUCAUCUAAAUCACAGGGGAUUUUAAACCUUGAAUGUGCUGUUCGUCCUCCUGGUAGCAGUAAUGAAGCAACUCCCGAAGAAGCAACAGUAAGAACAAUUCUUUGCUGUGCUCUAAGAUAUCCAACAAUGCAGUUCCAUAGAUAGGUUUUACCGGUACCGCCAUAACCAGAUACAAAGAAAAAUCCUGGCUCAUUAUUGAGGACUCUGUCCACUAUGGUGUUGAAUGCUUGUUUUUGUUCAUAGUUUAAAGUAGAAGUAGGAUUCAAUGUGUCGAAUAAUGGAUCAAGAGAGUAUGAAAGCUCUUCAUCGAUUAAACGGUUAUAUGAUACGGAAUAAGAAUUUACUUUUUUUUGAGGCAGGUUAAAAUCACGGAUGUUUCUUCCAUUCUGUGCAAAUAUGGAGGCUAAUUCUUCCAGAAGGUAGUCUCUUGCAUUGGUAUCAGACAUCUGGUAGUUAGGGUCGCCAAUGAUAUCUCUAAACUGAUAUUGAAUAUCGUCAGCCAACAAUUGCCAUACCUUUUCAAAGAAAGCUUUUUCAUCCCCAACCUGACAGAAAAGUAUCAUAGUAACGAAAAGCUUCCGCAGUUGAGGUGACGUAGCCCAAGCCGCAGCUUCAUCAAAGGCAUUAUACCAUUCUUGAUCAUCACCAAGAAGACCUCGAGAUCUACACGCGUCCUUAAAUGUAGGAUGAUGCAUGUUGUUAUGAAAUUUGAGAUCAUUGUAGCUAGUUGCGCCUUUGACAGCUAAUAAUAGAAUUCUAAGAUAGUAUCGUUCUCCCGCUGAUGGAUGGACAUAGUGUAGCCGGCCAACUUUACCAUGCCUUUGAUGACGUUUUUCCCAAACUCUGUCCUUGAGAUCCCAUUUCCACCUAGAAGGAAACUGCAGGUAUGUGAGGGUUCUGGCCUCAGGGUUGACUUGGUUGCAUGUGAACCAUUCUGUUAGCAUGGUUUUUUUUAAGAAUUCUUCAGAAACAACUCUGUCCAUCCUUGCUCUGGCACUAAAAGUGAUAAAAUUUUCAUUUGGCAAGUGCACCGGCAUUCUCUCAACAGCAGGAUGGUGUCUAUGUAUGUCAUAACCAAAGAUCCGCCAGCAGGCAUCUUGCUCACAAAUAUAACGACAAUCAAGGUACUCCUUGAUCUCAUUCACCGUUUCUGUGUCUUUAUCAUAUGGAGUAGAUUCAGCUCUUCUAACUCUCUCAAGAUACACCUUACUGCAAUCAGCACCUUUGGUAACAUAUUUGAAGAGGUAUUUUAUAAAAGUGCUUUUGUUACACCAUUCAACAUUUAUAUGAGCUUGAUAUUUCUUCAAUAGAUUCAUAUUAUAUGGAACAACCCAUCUAUUGUCCAUGCGAAGGCCUCCUUUGUCAAUGUAAAGAUUGCUCUGACGUCGUUUAUAAACAGCAAAGCCAUCUGAACUGACAGAAGUUUCUUCAUGAUACGGUUUAGGAAAAUGUUUGGAGCACCUUCCAUUUUUCAUACAAGGACAAGCUGGAUUAUGUGAACCACAGGGUCCAUGAAUCAUGUGUUCAGCAACGAGGGCAUAACCAAGUGGAUCUUGUUUUGGAUCAGGUAUUUCAGCAGUAACAUAUGAAUCAACCAUUGUAGGAGUUGGAUCCAAUGUGUCUGCUGUAGUCCAUAAAAUAAUGUGUGCAUGUGGAAGCCCCCGUUUCUGAAACUCGACAGUGUGCAGCACUACAUUUUUACCAAAAAUUUAACAUGAGUAAGAUUUGUUGGGAUAAAGAAGAGCAUGUUGUUGGUAGGAUCUAAACAUUGUAUACAACUGUUACCUGCGUUGCAUGGGCCAAAAACAUGACCAUCUUUGAUGUCAUGUAACAAUUCCUCCAACUUCAUGUUGAACACUCUGACAACUACAUCAGCCCUAUCUGUGGCUCUUUGUCCACGUUCGGAUAUGCCUUCAGAAAUUUCUAGCCACUUGGGAUUACAUGUGAAAGUCACAAAGUAAUCUGGAGGACCAUAUUCUCGACAGAUAGCAAUGCCAUCAUGAUAAUUUUGUAUCAUGUAUCGUCUACCUCCUGUGUGUGAUGCCGGCAAAACAGUCAUCUUGCCCAUCUCGCUGCCUUCUACACAACCCCUACCUAUUGCAUCGCAGAUACCCUGAAUACUCUCCAUCCGUAUAUCUUUCUGGUGUUUCAUUACAUACCAUAGCCUAUUUUCAUCAAUACAUGCCCGAGCAUCUACCUUGGCCUGACUUGAAAGGGCGCCAUAACAGAGAUAUGGAUUUGGUUGCUUCUUUCUAUAGUGAAACAUAUAGCAAAAAUAAUCCUGCAUGGUAACCUUGGUGUAUGAAUUCUGCUGCGUUGGUCUUGUGCCUGCGUAUAAAACACCGGUCUGGAACCCACGUUCAGCAAACGGAAAUAGUAAAGGAUACUGAAGAGCCAUGAAAGCAGGAUGCAAAGCCGAUAUCUGUUUAAGAUCCCCUAAACGUGUCUGUACAAUGAUGUCACGUUCAAAAGCAUCUGGGGAGAAAUCUCCAACAACAAGCAUAGCUAACUGAUCAGUUGUUGGCAAGCUAUAUUGCGGUGGAUCCCCAUCUCUAGGUCCAACAAUGCGAACAACAAAGUCUUCAGCACCAUGAUCAGCCAAUCUUUCUCUAGCCAUCCUAAACUGUUUGACCAAAGGAUUGUGAUGAUCUAACAUGUGUACUAAUGACUCAAUAAUGGAAGCAUCUAGAUCAGAAUCCUUUCUGUCAUCACGGUGCAAGGCUUGGAUUCUAUUGUGGACCUCGUUAGACGUAUCAUAGACAUAUAGCUGAAUGAAUUUUGGAGGGCUUCCAUCUGCAGGAAGCAGCGAACCAAUACGAUGGUGAACCUGGCCAUAGAUCUUGAAAACAGGCGGCCCACGACCAUCAUUGAUUGAACGAUCAAUAUUGGCCCCCAUGGAGGUGAAAGAAAAAAGACAAUUGUAUUGUCUUAUAUUUUUCAUAAACUUGUUUGAGAUUGGACCACUAUCAAACUUUGCUAACGAAGCUAACGGCUCGGGUCGAGGCACAAAUGGUGGUACAACAACCUUGCCACCUCUGCAGCAAUUGUUGUAAACUAUUUUGCUACAACGCCGCUUUGACUCACGAGCAACCCUCUCGGCAUACCAAAACAUCGCAUGACAGUGUGGACACUCAUGUUCUGGCGCCCCAUAGUAGGACCUUCCUGGAUACGAAACUGCAUGAAUAGCAUGAAGAGGGAGAUGGGAAAAGAUAAGGCCAAACUUGAUAAAGACAGCUACAAAGACAUCUGAAGAAUAAUCUGUUAUGUAAAUCCAAAGAGCGCCUGAGCAGAGCUGGACACACAGUGAAAUGAUGGCUCAUGUACCUUUGAGGGCUUCUACGAAAGCCUCAUCAAACUGGCCACAUACAAGGUGAUCGGUCGCAUGCCAAGGGCCUCCUACUUCAUACGAAGAGUAUACUCUUAUAAGAAUUGGCGUGAUAAUAAACCAAUGAAACGACAUGCACCAGGUAACUAAGGACAGAGAACACACAUAGGUUCUAACGAAGUUUGCACGUGCAGGAUUACCUUUCCAAACCAAACGAUGCUGAUCCAACAACCUUUUUCUCUUUUGUCUACACGUAGACGAAUUAGAGCUGAUUGUAUCAGGAUAAGUUUGUGUUGUUGCUGUAGAAGGACAUCUGAUGAGGAAAUUGUGUAAUAAUUUUACAGACGCAGGAAAGCAAUAAGUAAAAGCUGUAAUAGGGUACAUACAGGUACAUGCGGGGGACAAAGCCGCAUUGUUUGGCGCGGAGGUGCCUAUAUGCACUGACGUCGAGGCUGCCAAGUCCAAUACAACUUUUAAUAAUAACAAUAUUUAUAGCCCAUUCAACAUACGUAAAAGCUGUAAACACUAACUGUAGAAGCGUACGCACCGCUUGCUUCACAGUGUAAUGCAGACUGGCCAGCCGCAAAGGCACCACUAAGCACCAAUGUAGAGGCUGCCAGAUUUAAGUUGACACCAUUAAUACACAUAUCAACAAUAACCAAUACCCAAACCAAUCUCAAUAGAUUGAACAAAAAUUAAGUAGGACAUACGUGUCUGUGGGACGUCAAUCUGUAUUUGAUUAUUCAUGGAGUCACGGCAACAUAAAACUCUGCAAGGUAGGCAGACCGAAGGAAAGGAAAAAAAGAAAGAAAAAUAAUUCUUAAGGAAGAAUCCCAAUAACUACAAACACUGCUCUGAGUUCUACCUCCUUUUUUUUUUGCAUAUGUAGAGGCUAAAUACUUGGAAAUCCUAGAACAACUACUUUGCACUAAAGCACAAAACGAUAUUGUAGCUAUCGCCACAGGACCAGAAUUUGGAUACAUGUAAGUAAAACAACAUACAAUAAAACAACAAAUUGCACAGGCAUUAACUUAGUUAGAAUGACAAUACGUAUAUACACACACAACACGGAACAUAAAAUGAUCUUAUUGCUCAGAAGAAGUACAGUACAAGGACUCAUAACCAGCAGACACACAACUGAGUUCAUGCACCAAACACUAUGCAGAAGCCACUAAAGUAGGAUCAUACUGCACUCCGCGCUGCUGACUACCUAUGACCAAUCUAGCAAGCUGAACACCCCUAUUAGCUACAGGAAGAAGGCGUUGCGCCAAAGUCCUGUAUAGCAUCAACCCAUGCAUAUUAUAGUCUAGGACUACAAAACCAUAUAUUUGCUGUAAAGCCAAAAGCACCUGCAGAGCUGCUGCCUCAUAAGCUGCACUCCGCUCCAUACCAGAGUUUGCCCAAAAAAAAUAUGUCUGUGAUCUAACGGAGCACUGUAGAGCUGGGAAUUCAAGCUCAAUGCCAUACAAGGAAGCACCAUCCUGAAGAAUUUCAUGCACAGUGGAUAUGUAGGGAAGACAGCAGGACUGCGCCACCUCUCGUAAAAUAGCCAGGUAUGAUACACGAACAGCGAACAUCCUGGUUAAAGAACAAAGCCGACACCUGGAACCCAGAAGAGAAAGAAAUAUUUUCUCUGUUGUCCUUUUAACAAAUAAAUCACGACGAACCCCAAAUGGUGGACACAACGUAGGUAAACGGUACAGGUUUUAUCGGAGAUUUGGAAAUGAGGUUAAAUAAAAAUAUUUUUUGAUUUCCCUUGACCAGAUUGGCGACAACAAUCGCAGGGUUUUUUUUAAGAUGAAGACUUCUUUUUUUUCGAAAAGCCCCCCAAACGAGAACAAAAUAUUAGUCAUUUGAGCAGCAGCAACGACGGUGUACAACAUGAACCAAAACACACACAUGGUUAGCAGGGGGUGGAAUAUAAGAUUAUACCUCAAUAGGAAAACGCAGUGCGCCACGAAUAGAACUGACCGAACAAAUAUACAGAGCACCCAACGCCGACGAAACCAGGUAGAAUAAAUGCAGAGCCUGCAUCCACACGAAACGUAGCAACAAAUCUCAGGUUAGACAGCGUUAGUAACAUAAACUGAAUAGUAAAAAAAACAAAGCUAAUCCAAAAGACUGAAGAACGGAAGGAAAUACCUGGGACCAACAAAGGGAACCAACAACGCAAAAUCCGAUACUGGUUUGUUAAGACAGAGAGAAAAAGAGUAAAUCAAUAGGUGCACAGGCACAUAAAAAGAUGAUGAAAGAAGGCAUCCAACUAAAUACCUGCAAAGAGGGCCUGGAGGCAACAGCAGGAAAUACAAAGCAGCCGUGCUACAGCAGCAGCAAUGGACCAACUCCACCAGAUCGGAACAAACAAUGCUGGGAUCCGACGAUGCUGCAUCAAACCCAACCAGUUAAAUAAACGACGAAGCGUUUACCGAAGAAGAAACCAAAAUGGAGGCAAAAGACCAACGAACCCCAGCGGACAAGUGCAGCUCGAACGAAGACGAAAGCCCUGCGCGGGCGGAGGGAGGAGGGAGCGCAGCGGCAGCGCCCACACAGAAGCAACCGACGCGGCUACCAAGAGCGGCGGUACCUGCGCGUAGGGAAGAAGGAGGGGGCGCGGCGGCAGCGACCACACAGCAGCAACAGGCGCGACCGCCGAUGGCGGCGCCACGCCGUUGGCGGCGCCAAAGGCCCUGCAGGAGUCGAAGCAGGGCACAACACGGAGAGAAAC
rnacentral:lncRNA from 1 species